UGGUCCAACAAUUGUGAAGCUGUAGGGCGUGCUGAUGGAUCCCGUUGCAAGCACAACUUUAUAAAACUUUUUGCAUCAUUUGACAGGUGAUCAGGUAUAUCAGGCAUAUCUUUGCUGUUUCCAAUUUUGAAUAUUGCAGCGACCCCUUCAUACUGGUUCCAUGGCGGCUUUGAUGUUGCCAUUUCAAGAAUUGUACAUCCCAAGCUCCAAAUAUCGACUGCAAGACUGUAGCCGUUUGUAUUCAUUACAACCUCAGGCGCCAUCCAGUAAGGACUUCCCUUGAA
rnacentral:misc_RNA from 1 species